rnacentral:rRNA from 1 species
GAUGAACGCUGGCGGCGUGCCUAAUACAUGCAAGUCGAGCGAACAGACGAGGAGCUUGCUCCUCUGACGUUAGCGGCGGACGUGUGAGUAACACGUGGAUAACCUACCUAUAAGACUGGGAUAACUUCGGGAAACCGGAGCUAAUACCGGAUAAUAUAUUGAACCGCAUGGUUCAAUAGUGAAAGACGGUUUUGCUGUCACUUAUAGAUGGAUCCGCGCCGCAUUAGCUAGUUGGUAAGGUAACGGCUUACCAAGGCAACGAUGCGUAGCCGACCUGAGAGGGUGAUCGGCCACACUGGAACUGAGACACGGUCCAGACUCCUACGGGAGGCAGCAGUAGGGAAUCUUCCGCAAUGGGCGAAAGCUUGACGGAGCAACGCCGCGUGAGUGAUGAAGGUCUUCGGAUCGUAAAACUCUGUUAUUAGGGAAGAACAAAUGUGUAAGUAAAUAUGCACGUCUUGACGGUACCUAAUCAGAAAGCCACGGCUAACUACGUG